GUUAUUUGCAUUCAGCUUAUUCAGAUUUUUCUUCUGCAGAAGAGGUAUUGAUUUUUAUCUUAAUCAAUGGAAAGCCACAGCACAAAACAAUAACAAGCAGUAAAAGAAAACAGCUGAACACCGCUCGUCUAAAAUGGAAAUGUGCGUUAAACGGGGCACCGACAAAAUCUCGCAGGGAAGCAGAUGUUGGGGUUAAAGGCGAGCAGGAGGCUGAUGCAGGCUGUGUGGAACAGGAGAGGGAGCUCUCACUGCAGCCCCGGCCCGCGGGGAGAGCUGAGCUGGGGCUGGGGCUGCAGCUGGGGGGGCUGCGCACGCCCUCCUCCUUCGCUCCCGAUUCAAUACAAUUUUCGUAUUAUUCCGGACAGAAAGCAUUGGCAGAACGCUCCGCAGCACGCUGCAGUCAGACAGGAGCAAUGGAUGAGACUCUGUAAUGCUUGCCAGGUCUGGCUGUCAGGAUAGUUUCUUGAGUUAGGGAGGCACAUUUUAUCCCCACAGCUGCAAGUCUGUUCCUGCCCGUAUUUCCACAACCCCCUAACACACUCGGAAAAGUACAGCAUAAAUAAUAACACGUAUCAGCUGUAUUUAUGACAAUCAAGAGUGCUUGAUAUAAAACACUGACUUUAAUUACAAGACUCUAAACGACCUCUUUGAUUGAAGGAAACAGUGACAACCCGAUUUUGCAAACUUCAUCCAAGUAACUGUUAUCCCUCCACAUCACCCUUUCUUUUUUUAAUAAGCUGUUCCACGUGACUAGGAAAGUAGGCAGAGGUUAACACAGAUAAAUGGCUGUGUUUUAUCCUCCACAGACAAACAACCAUGCCUAAGGACUCAAUUACAGAAACCUUGGUGGUCUCCUUGUUUGUUGGAUUACUUGUUUGUAUUGCUCGGGAGACAAUUAUUUCCAAACAAGCAUAAAAGAAUUACAUAGUCAACAUUCAGCACGAUCCUCUGAAAAGAUGCUCAGAAUGCAUUUAGUUGCUCAACGUAGGUUUGACUCCAAGUUAGAGACAUUAAAGGCUUGAAUCAGCGGCCGCGACAUAGGCGUUGAGUGCCGCAUGAGCUGCCCUGGGGUCUCUUGCCAAAUCACCAAAUACCGCUCCAGGGACCAGAAACCUGUGUGUUCAGCCCAUGAAUCAUGCCCUUCAUUCAGCAGCGUCUGUAGGGCUGCUUACAAACGUGGAGCCAAUCCUCUGGUGAAACAAUAAUUUGCAGCAGCAGUGGAGCUUAUGGCGUGUUUAUCAGCCAAGCAUCUACCUAAUCUUUUCUCCAACCAAUGCCACCCACAUACAGCUUAUCCGAGGAUAUGCUGGAGAACAAGAGAACAGAGGCACUCUUGAUUCUGUAUUACAAGAAAUACUUGUUGCUGAUCUGUAAGGUCCAGGGUAAGGACUGAAUAUCUGCCCUACAGGCAGACGAACCAGGGAGAAGCAUGCUGAAACACUGCAGUUUAAAACUUCUGCACAUGCUGCCAGAUGUUGCCUCAGGAAGUUGAAACAAGAAGUCAGGAACUGACAGCUCAAUAAUUAAAUUGGGAAAGUUGGCAGGCCUCCUACUACUUCCUCCGAUCCGUAGCAUCUAUGAAUGAAGGCGGGCAGUAUCCCAGUGGCUCUCCUUCCGAACCGGCUCAUCCAUUACCGGGUAAUGAUUUUCCGUCGAGGCAACAGCAAAGCACAAGGCCUAUUACACCAGCUACAUAAAGUUAAAAAGGCAUUAUGAAUAAAACGUUCGCCACGGCUUUUACCAA